rnacentral:rRNA from 1 species
AACGAACGCUGGCGGCAUGCCUAACACAUGCAAGUCGAACGAGACCUUCGGGUCUAGUGGCGCACGGGUGCGUAACGCGUGGGAACCUGCCCUUAGGUUCGGAAUAACUCCCCGAAAGGGGUGCUAAUACCGGAUAAUGUCUUCGGACCAAAGAUUUAUCGCCUUUGGAUGGGCCCGCGUUGGAUUAGCUAGUUGGUAGGGUAAAAGCCUACCAAGGCGACGUUCCAUAGCUGGUCUGAGAGGAUGAUCAGCCACACUGGGACUGAGACACGGCCCAGACUCUUACGGGAGGCAGCAGUGGGGAAUAUUGGACAAUGGGCGAAAGCCUGAUCCAGCAAUGCCGCGUGAGUGAUGAAGGCCUUAGGGUUGUAAAGCUCUUUUACCCGGGAUGAUAAUGACAGUACCGGGAGAAUAAGCUCCGGCUAACUCCGUG